GAUGAACGCUAGCGAUAGGCUUAACACAUGCAAGUCGAGGGACCGGCGCACGGGUGCGUAACGCGUAUGCAACUUGCCUCACAGAGGGGGAUAACCCGUCGAAAGACGGACUAAUACCGCGUACUGUGAGAUAGGCAUGCGUCCCAUUAGCUAGUUGGUGAGGUAACGGCUCACCAAGGCAACGAUGGGUAGGGGAACUGAGAGGGUGAACCCCCACGCCGGAACUGAGACACGGACCAGACUCCUACGGGAGGCAGCAGUUAGGAAUAGUGGUCAAUGGGCGAGAGCCUGAAUCAGCCAAGUCGCGUGAAGGAUGACUGGCUAUGGAGUGUAAACUUCUUUUGUAGGGGAAUAUGUACCCUACGAAUAAGCAUCGGCUAACUCCGUGCCAGCAGCCGCGGUAAUUC
rnacentral:rRNA from 1 species